AAGAGUCUAGCCUGCCCAGUGAUUUUUUAACGGCCGCGGUACUUUGACCGUGCAAAGGUAGCAUAAUCAUUUGCCUUAUAAUUGAAGGCUAGUAUGAAAGGUUUGACGAAAGUUAAGCUGUCUUUUUUUGUAUAAAAUGAAAUUAACUUAUAAGUGCAAAGGCUUAUAUACAACUAAAAGACAAGAAGACCCUAUUGAGCUUACAAAAGUAUUAUGGAGUAAAGUAUAUACAAAUAAUUCUAAUCUUUUUAAGUUUUUAGUUGGGGCGACUUAGGAAUCAAAAAAACUUCCUAGCAUUAAAGUUACUUUUAUGUUUUAUCCAAAAUUUUUUGAUUAUCAGAAUUAGUUACCAUAGGGAUAACAGCAUAAUCUUUCUUAGGAGUUCUAAUCGAAAGAAAGGAUUGUGACCUCGAUGUUGGACUAGAAUAUCCUAAAGGUGCAGAAGUUUUUAAGGGUUGGUCUGUUCG
rnacentral:rRNA from 1 species